AGAGUUUGAUCAUGGCUCAGAACGAACGCUGGCGGCAUGCCUAACACAUGCAAGUCGAACGCUCUCUUCGGAGGGAGUGGCGCACGGGUGAGUAACGCGUGGGAACCUGCCUUGGAGUGGGGGAUAACCGAUGGAAACGUCGGCUAAUACCGCAUACGUCCUGAGGGAGAAAGAUUUAUCGCUCUGAGAGGGGCCCGCGU
rnacentral:rRNA from 1 species